rnacentral:rRNA from 1 species
UAGUCAUAUGUUAGGAGGGCAUAUCCGCCGAAUUUAAGCAUAUAAUUAAGCGGAAGAAAAGAAAAUAACUAUGAUUCCUUAAGUAACGGCGAGUGAACAAGGAUUAGCUCAAUGGGAAAAUCCAGUUUCUCACGAAAGUGAAGAGCUUGAAUUGUCCAGUUUUCGAAAUUCAUCCAAUUAUCUUACAUAAUAGAAGCGAAGUAAGCAGGAAUGCUUCUCCUUAGAGGGUGAAAGGCCCGUAGUUUUCUUUUAUUUUUGAUUUUUGGUUGUCUUUCUUUUGAGUCGUGUUCUUUGAGAUUGGAGCACUAAUUUGUGUGAUACAUUUCACAUAAAGCUAAAUAUGUGUAGGAGACCGAUAGCAAACAAGUACCGUGAGGGAAAGAUGAAAUAGCACUCAGGAAUGAGCAAUUAAAUAGUACCUGAAAUCGUUAAGGUGGAACGGAUUAAGAGAGAAAAUAAGUAAGAAGGGCAUGAUUCCUUUUUUUGGAUUCUUUUCCUUUCUUAUUAAAAGAAACAUCAGUGAGCUAGGAUAAUUAAGAUAAAGUAAUACGUGAAAUUAGUUAAUUACUAUUUUAACUUUUCUCAUUUCUUCCCCACACUAAUGAGGGGAAAAAUUACUUUAUAUUUUUCUUAAAUCUAAAAAUUAUUCCAUUUACUGAGGUCUUUUUAAACAUGGUUUGAAUUCUUUUCUUUCCAUUUAAGUUGUUUCUAAACAGUACUUUCUUAACCCACUCGUCUUGAAACACGGACCAAGGAGUCUAGCAAAUGUACGAGCGCGUAUGAUUUUAAUUAAACAUUUUAAUUUUCUUCUACGCAUAAUUAAUAUAAUACCUUAUUUUUGGUAGAUUAAGGGGAUGGGAAACUUUCCUUCUUAUGCAUACCAUACCGGUUGGCGAUAUAAUGCUUUAUUGAGUAUUAGCAUAUUUGGUAGGACCCGAGAGGCUUUGAACUAAGCGUGACGAGAUCGAAGUCAGACGAAAGUCUGAUGGAAGAUUGAAUUGAUACUGACGUGCAAAUCGUUCUUUUCAGUCACGUUUAGGGGCGAAAGACUAAUCGAAAAGCCUAUUAGCUGGUUAUUUUCGAAAGAUCUCUCAGGAUCGCUGGAGUUGAUUUCUAAUAUAAUUUUACCAGGUAGAGAUAAUGAUUAGAGGAAUCAGGGAAAUCGUUUCCUUGACCUAUUCUCAAACUCCCAAUGGGUAAAAAGAUUAAAAUAACUUUCUUGUAUUUUAAUCAUAUUUUUCUUUCACAAAUAAGAUAACUCCAAGUGGGCCAUUUUUGGUAAGCAGAACUGGCGAUGAGGGAUGCUCCUAACGCUUGGAUAAGGUGCCUAAAUAUUCGCUCAUGAGAUCCCAUAAAAGGUGUUGGUUCAUAAUGACAGUAGGACGGUGGUCAUGGAAGUCGAAAUCCGCUAAGGAGUGUGUAACAACUCACCUACCGAAUGAACUAGCCCUGAAAAUGGAUGGCGCUAAAGCGAAUUACCAAUACCAAGCCAUAGAAAGAACUUCAAAUUCGUAGUAAAUUUCUUUUUAUUAUGUAAUUUCUGUUAUCUUUCUAUGUGUAGAAAAUCGUGGGGUUUGUGUUGAAGCGAGAUACGUGAGUUCUUGUGGAACAUAUCCCUAGUGCAGAUCUUGGUGGAAGUAGCAAUUAUUCAAAUGAGAACUUUGAAGACUGAAGUGGAGAAGGGUUUCUUGUCAACUGUGAUUGUACAAGAGUUAGCCGCUCCUAAGGGAUAGCUGAAAAGUGUUUAUUUGGGUAUGUUUUAACGCGUUAACUACGUGUGCAUCUCUUUCUCGAAAGGGAAACAGGUUGAUAUUCCUGUGCCAAUGUAUUUUGAGUAAUAUUAAAGAUGGUAACAUAUAUAUAAAUGAACUCCUUCACGUAGGCCUUACGCUCGGGGUGCGUUUUCUUUGCACUUUACCUCUAUAGCUAACCUUGGAAUCAAUUUACUUGGAGAAAAGGUUCGCCGAAACAAUUCAGGAGAGCUUCUUAGUGAAACUUCCGUUUUGCUUUUUUGCUUUCCUGUUUUGUAGUAAAAGUAAUUCGUUUUUAUGAAUUAUCCGAAGUUGUAAGGACUACCCUUGAAAAAAGGAGGGAACAGCGAUUGGAAUGGGAAAAGUUCUGGUUCGCCUUUACUUUUUACAUUCCUUUUGUUAUACUCUGAAUAUCUGUAUGAGCGUACCGACAACCGCAUCAGGUCUCCAAGGUUAAUAGCCUCUGGUUAAGUAGAAAAAAGUAGGUAAGGGAAGUCGGCAAAAUAGAUCCGUAACUUCGGGAAAAGGAUUGGCUCUGAGGACAUUAGAAUAGAGAAGAAAGGAAAAUGUUUGAAAAUAAAGAUAUGGAUUUAUAUAUUUCUUUCAGAAUUCUUUCUGUUUACGACUUAUAUAUUUCCUUAUUUUGUUUUUCUUAUGUUUCUCUUUCUCCCCCUCUAUUCGCCUUCAUUUGUACUUUUGCGUUUCGGCGUUUUUAGUACACUUGAUACUUAUAUUGUUAACUCAGAACUGAAACGGACAAAGGGAAUCCGACUGUUUAAUUAAAACAUAGCAUUGUGACAAGCCAUAACUGGUAUUAACACAAUGUGAUUUCUGCCCAGUGCUUUGAAUGUCAACUUGAUGAAAUUCAAUCAAGCGCAGGUAAACGGCGGGAGUAACUAUGACUCUCUUAAGGUAGCCAAAUGCCUCGUCAUCUAAUUAGUGACGCGCAUGAAUGGAUUAACGAGAUUCCCACUGUCCCUACUUGCUAUCUAGCGAAACCACAGCCAAGGGAACGGGCUUGGCAUAAUCAGCGGGGAAAGAAGACCCUGUUGAGCUUUACUCUAGUCUGGCUUUGUGAAACGACUUAAGAGGUGUAGCAUAAGUGGGAGUAGAAACUGAAAUAUGUUUUUACGACAGUGAAAUACCACUACUUUUAAAGUUGUUUUACUUAUCUAUUGAUAGGGAAAUAUUAUUAUAUUUCGCUUGCGAAAUAUUUUCAUAUUAUUUGAAUUUAUAAGCGUUGCUUUUCUUUUUAGUAUUCGCUUCUCUCCCAACUCUAUGGAGACAUAGCCAGGUGGGGAGUUUGACUGGGGCGGUACAUCUGUUAAAUAAUAACGCAGAUGUCCAAAGACAAGCUCAAAGAGAACAGAAAUCUCUUGUAGACUAAAAGGGGAAAAGCUUGUUUGAUUUCUAUUUUCAGAGAAAGUAGAAAACGUGAAAGCGUGGCCUAUCGAUCCUUUAUGUUUGCAAAAUUACGGAAUUCAUCUUCCUAUUGUGCAUAUAGAGGUGUCUGAAAAGUUACCACAGGGAUAACUGGCUUGUGGCUGCCAAGCGCUCCUAGCGACGUAGCUUUUUGAUCCUUCGAUGUCGGCUCUUCCUAUCAUUGGGACGCAGAAGUCUCAAAGUGUCGGAUUGUUCACCCGCUAAUAGGGAACGUGAGCUGGGUUUAGACCGUCGUGAGACAGGUUAGUUUUACCCUACUGAUGA